GCGCGGAUUUACCUUGACCUUAGGGCCAGCCAACUAAAAUGAGGCGAGGGCAUUUCAUGCAGUCAGAUCAUCUCAGGAAGACACUGGAGGCUGAGGCGGGAAGACUGGUGCUAGUAAAAUUGCCAGAAAUUUGAGGACAAGGCUUCCAAGUUCAACAGUCCUGACUGUCCCGGAACUCACUUUGUAGACCAGUCUGGUCUUGAACUCAAAGCAAUACACCUACCUCUGCUUCCCAAGUGCCAGGAUUAAAGAAGUGGCCCCCACCUCCAGAUAGAAUGAUUAUUUUCUUUCUGGACUUUUAUAAGGGUAGGAAAGAUGGCAGAGGAUAUUGGGAGAAAGCCCAGCAUUGCAAGUAAGAAUCAUUAUGAAAAGCUUUCUUGUGUGCUCGUUCCUAAGACAUAGCCGGAUAUCUAGUUAAUAUUGAAUAUGUGUAACUGGUAUUCCAACAUAAUUGGCAAUUUAUAGUUGGCAAUAAAGUGUUUAAAAUUGAACCCAUUUUUUUCUUGAAAAUACUAAACUGUUAUUAUUUU
rnacentral:lncRNA from 1 species